rnacentral:rRNA from 1 species
UACGUAGGGUGCAAGCGUUGUCCGGAAUUAUUGGGCGUAAAGAGCUCGUAGGCGGCCAACUAAGUCAUACGUGAAAUCCCCCGGCUUAACCGGGGAACUGCGUCUGAUACUGGAUGGCUUGAGUUCGGGAGAGGGAUGCGGAAUUCCAGGUGUAGCGGUGAAAUGCGUAGAUAUCUGGAGGAACACCGGUGGCGAAGGCGGCAUCCUGGACCGAUACUGACGCUGAGGAGCGAAAGCCAGGGGAGCAAACGGG